GAUGAACGCUAGCGGCAGGCCUAACACAUGCAAGUCGAGGGGUAGAAGUUGCUUGCAACUUUGAGACCGGCGCACGGGUGCGUAACGCGUAUGCAAUCUGCCUUGUACUGAGGGAUAGCCCAGAGAAAUUUGGAUUAAUACCUCAUAGUAUAUAACCUUCGCAUGUUGGUUAUAUUAAAGUUCCAACGGUACAAGAUGAGCAUGCGUCCCAUUAGUUAGUUGGUAAGGUAACGGCUUACCAAGACGAUGAUGGGUAGGGGUCCUGAGAGGGAGAUCCCCCACACUGGUACUGAGACACGGACCAGACUCCUACGGGAGGCAGCAGGGAGGAAUAUUGGUCAAUGGGCGCAAGCCUGAACCAGCCAUGCCGCGUGCAGGAUGAAGCAUCUAUGGUGUGUAAACUGCUUUUAUACGGGAAGAAACACUCCUACGUGUAGGAACUUGACGGUACCGUAAGAAUAAGGAUCGGCUAACUCCGUGCCAGCCGCCGCAGUAACAC
rnacentral:rRNA from 1 species